rnacentral:rRNA from 1 species
CCAAUAGCGUAUAUUAAAGUUGUUGCAGUUAAAAAGCUCGUAGUUGAAUUUCGGGGUCAGCAGGUUGGUCGUGCCUCUGGUAUGCACUGGUUUCGCUGAUUCCUCCUUUCUGAAGAACUGUAAUGCCAUUAAUUUGGUGUUGCAGGGAAACAGGACUGUUACUUUGAAAAAAUUAGAGUGUUUAAAGCAAGCUAACGCUUGAAUACAUUA